GACGAACGCCGGCGGCGUGCUUAACACAUGCAAGUCGAACGAUGAAGCCGGAGCUUGCUCUGGUGAAUUAGUGGCGAACGGGUGAGUAACACGUGAGUAACCUGCCCUUGACUCUGGGAUAAGUGCGGAAAACUGUAGCUAAUACCGGAUACGACCCUCGGAGGCAUCUCCUGGGGGUGGAAAGAAUUUCGGUCAAGGAUGGACUCGCGGCCUAUCAGCUAGUUGGUGAGGUAAAGGCUCACCAAGGCGACGACGGGUAGCCGGCCUGAGAGGGUGACCGGCCACACUGGGACUGAGACACGGCCCAGACUCCUACGGGAGGCAGCAGUGGGGAAUAUUGCACAAUGGGCGCAAGCCUGAUGCAGCAACGCCGCGUGAGGGAUGACGGCCUUCGGGUUGUAAACCUCUUUUAGCAGGGAAGAAGCGAAAGUGACGGUACCUGCAGAAAAAGCACCGGCUAACUACGUGCCAGCCGCCGCCGUAA
rnacentral:rRNA from 1 species